GGGCUGCAGGGACCGUGGAAUGCGAUGGGUUGGAAUGGACCUCAAAGCCCAUCCAGUUCCAACCCCCUGCCACUGUAUCAGGCUGCUCCAAGCCCCAUCCAACCCGGUCUUGAACACCUCCAGGGAUGGGGCAGCCACCACUGCUCUGGGCAACCUGGAUCACUGUCUCCCCACCCUCAUAGGAAAGCAUUUAUUCCUAAUAUCCAAGCUAAACCUCCCUUAUUUCAGCUUAAACACAUCCCCCCUCAUCCUCUCCCUGCACUCAAAGCCCCUCCCCAGCUUUCCUGGAGCCCCUUCAGUCCUGGAAGCUGCUCUGAGGUCUCCCCGCAGCCUUCUCUUCUCCAGGCUGAACAACCCCAACUCCCUCAGCCUGUCAAAUCUUUAAUUUGCUGUUUUACGAGAAGAAGUAGGCAGGAUAAUUUGUUAGUUUUAUUCAGGCGCAGUGGUACCCGUGGGUUUAGAACCAUUUUUUCCUCCAGCCUAAACAAGUCAUCGCUCCGUAAAGCUUCAUCAUUUCUGCCUUUUGUCACCUCACGGUCAGCCCGCCUGUCUUUCUGCUGUGAAAUAUGGAGGAUUUUUCUGCAUCUCAAUAGACCUACCCUGGCAUGGAGGCAGUGGCGAUCCCUGUCUCCCUUUCCUCGCGGAGCUACACGAGGCCUUGCUCUGCCUUUCAAAUAGUUCCUCUUGAUAUUUUACCAUUAACCCUCCAUUGUGACCUUGAAAUUGCAGACUUGCUUUUCCACUGUUUUCUACACCACCCUAUAACUCUGCUUUUCCACACUUGGAAAAGAAUUUGUCUUAUUUCUAACCUUCUUUUUCCCCCUGUUUAUAGUAACAGUCAUGACCUUAGAGUCAGAGAUUUCCCAGACGUUAAUGACCAGCCAGAAUGAGAUUAUGCUCUCAGCUGCUGCAGGUAACUGCUCAGCACCUGAUCCUGCCCGACUUUUAUGCAUAACCCUCCUUGGAAGCUGGGAGACGUUUGGUGGGUCACCUAACUGGAAAACUGUGCCUGGCAUUAUGCCUUAAAUAUUCCUUGCGGGCUUGUCCACAGCUCCAAGUGCACCAGGAUGUGAUGUAUAAAGGUUGUAUUCACAGGACCAGGUCACAAAGUAGUUGUCUUUGUUCUCCUUCCAGAACGGAUGCAGAGAGCACUGUCCUACCCUCCCGCCCUCUCCGCUCCCACCCUGGAUCCAUCCAACAUGCACACAGAGCAGAAGGAAAGGGAGAUGCAUUUUGCAAACAAAUGAAGAAGGUAAAAGGGAUGCUGGUAUUGACAUCAUCGUGUUACUGAUGCCAUUUAAAGCAGGUUGCAGCAGCUGGAGGAUGGAUGUAACCAGACGGCACGCCGUGUACCAGGCAAUAAGGGGAAAUUAUGGGUAGCUUUGGAGCUGAAUGAAUAACUCUCCACAAGAUCCGCCUCAGCUUGUUCCAACAGUAAGUGACAUAAGUUUAAUUGGCUAUAACAGGACCUCGCUUAGUCCCAGUCUGGUGGGUUUGUGUUAUUUAAUGCCUUCAUCUGGGGCUCCAACUCUUCUGGCACAGAGGGGGGGCUCUGAGCACAGGAUUUGGAGACAGCAGGUCCUGGGCUUGGCUCAAACAGUUACUGUCACUGUGGGAAUUUUCUGCAUUAGAUUCCUCCACACGGGAAGAAAGAUGACAGCUCUAGCCAAAAUCACAAGCAGGACCUGAUGAUGACUUACAGAUUAGCUCCAAGUGCUGUGAAGAUUAACUGGAAUUUUUCAAAGCUCUGUCCUAAUUCACCUUUUUUGGAGUGCACUUCCCUCUCCGAACGGGUUACGGGCUGUAGAGCCCUGGCUUCCUGGGACAGCUGCCCUCGGAAUGCUAAACCCCAGCUGUACAUGCUUUUACUUAGGCUCAUUAAGUAUUUCCAGCCACACCUUGAUGAAGUCAACCCUUAGCGAUGCACCGUUUGAAAAAGAUUUGGGUCUUUUUUGUAACCAAUAAUUCUAUAAAGAAACAGGAAAACAGAGUGCUUCGGUAAAAUGUGAGUAAAAGGGAACUUUUUCCUCAAUAUUAUACAUGCCCCUUCCCAAAAUCCUAGGCUGUACCACAGCAAACCAGCUGAGCAGACAAGCCAAGGUCUCAAAGAGAAGCACUCUAUCUGCUGAGAGAAGCUCUUAUCAGACUGACCUUCCUUUGAUUCCUGCACCAGAUAAGGCUGAAUCGUAGCUGAUUAAUGGAACGAGAAAUGUGCCACACAGGGCUGCUGGUGAGUCCAGGGCAGGAUGUCUGGGUGAGAGAAAUGAGGUAGCGGUCUCCCCCGAGGUUUUAUUUCCCAGGAAAAGCACAGCUAUAAAAAGCAGGGUACAAAAAGUGUACUUUGGAGUUGAAGAGACGAGCCUGCUGUUUGGGUGAGCGUCAUGGCUAAAUACAGUGAUUAAACCAGAUCUACUGGUAUUUUUCGGAGACAGUUGCAGGCUGGGGAUUGCUGCUGCCUCGGUAAACAGGCACUGCAUCUGAGCUGGGAGGGCCCUCAUCAGUGUUGUGUAGCUGAAAAUUCAAAAUGUUGCGGUCUUAGCUUGGUUUUACAAACACCAAAUCCUUCUCAAAUAUAAUUGUAGGUAUUUUCGCCUCUGCAGCUGGCUGUUAUUAUAGAAUCAUAGAAUAGUUCGGGUUGGAAGAGACCUUAAAAGAUCAUCCAGUUCCAACACCCUGCCAUGGGCAGGGACACCUCCCACUGGCUCAGGCUGCCCAAGGCCCAUCCAACCUGACCUUGAACACCUCCAGGGAUGGGGCAGCCACAUCUUCCCUGGGCAACCUGAGCCAGUGUCUCACCACUCUCAUGGUGAAGAAGUUCCUCCUUAUGUCCAGUCUAAAUCUGCUCCUCUCCAGUUUAUACCCAUUGCCCCUCGUCCCGUCCCCACAAGCCGUUGUGAACAGUCCUUCCCCAUUGCAUUGGUGUGCAAUGCUUUCCUUUUCAAAGAGGCUGACAAACAUUUGUUAAGCUGGUUGUCCCCAGAGAAGCACUUCUGAAGCGGACAUAUUUGGUCCUUCUCCAAAUUACCAGAUCCAAUUGUUCCUUGUUAUUCCAAAAGCUGCCCAGGUGAUUCUCCACCUCACCAUACACCAACCCUCUGCUCCCACGGCUCACCACAUCCUUUCUUUUCCCCAAAGUCAGGGAGCAUCGCUGCUAACUGCCUGCUUCAUGCUGUGUUGCUUUUACACACACAAGGAAAUACAAAAAGCUUGCAGGCACAAGAAAUGCCUACUAUGACUUACAGACUUGUGUAAUCUCCUUUGUGUUUACGCUAAGAGAGUCAUUUAAUUAGAGCUUGCAGCAACCCUCUUUGUAUUUUGAAAAUUGACUAAUCGGUUCCAUAGUUCCUCGUUAUCCCCGCUGCACUAAUCGGGAAACUGAGUCAUGUUUUCAAUAGGUUGUCAGGGUAGAACCUGAACUCCACGUCCUGUCUUCGAACCCCCAGCUCUCAAUUCGCCAUCUCAUUUCAUUGCCUCUUCUGCUUUGUUUUUCCACUACAGAGGAAGAGAUGAUAGAUCACCUUGUUUUGAUCCCAGGGACACGCUUUUCCUUAGCGUGGUACAAACAUCACGUUGAAGAUAUAAAGCAGGGGCCCUGGAAAUGAGGAACCUUGGCUGUGUUUCACAGCAGAAUUGCUUUUUGCCUUUCUGGCAGAUUUCUUUCCGUUCCUUAGCACCAUGUGCAAUGGCAGCUGCCUCAAAUGCCAGUGUUUUCCAAGGCAGGUCCAGGCAGUGGUCGGAAUGUAGAAACUACACCACAGCAGGCAGGAGAGGUCCUGGGAGGGAAGCACAGCCCAGACGGCUGUCAUUGCUCUGCAAGGGGCUGGUGCAGGCACAAGAACCAUCACCAUAGAAUAGAAGCACUGCCUUAGAAACAUAGAACUGUUAGAGCUGGAAAAGACCUCCAAGAUCAUCAAGUCCAACCAUCAACCUUUAAUUUCUGCCGACAACCCCUGCAAAGGUGAGUGUCGUGCUACUGUGCUCAGCUCACUGAAGGUGUCCAGCACACCUGAAAGCUUUUCUUUUGCAAAAUGCAUUGUAUUUUGCCAGCUGGUUCUGCAAACUGACUCUAGGUCUGCUAAGCUCACCCUGCGUCUACAUGGUAUUACUGUAAACCAUGCCAGCCCCAUGGACCACAUCUUCUGAAACAUCUCCCAGGGAACCCCCCGGCUGAAGCACAAGUGGCUCCAGCCAGGGAAGAGUUUUGCUGGCAGAAUUGAUUAAGCUGUUGGCUCCAGGCAAUGCACUUAAUUUGUGACGUUUGCACCUAUCAUUCAGGAAUAUUGGAUUGUAGCCAAGACAUGACUUGAGGCGAGUGACCCGUCAGAGCUGGGAUGUGCCCUGGGAAGGCAGGGGAGGCGAUGGGGAACGAGCUGCGAGGCAGCAAGGCCAUAUCUGCUGGUUGUCAUGGAUACAAUCACUGCUGGUCUCCUGUAUCAGUUACCUUCCCUUUCCUGGAUGCAAAUAAACGAGUGCCAGUCUACUCCUGUUCUUACGCAGGACACAACCCUUCACAGCCAAACAAAAAGAGAAAACCAUCUGUUUCAAACCUAGACAUCUCUUCUUAAUGUCAUCUAAGGGGAGAGUGGGAGGUGACUUGCUUUUUUGGUAUUCGAAAUAUGCGAGUCUGAUAAUGUUCUGCCCAAUUGCAUUCAGUUCCGUCCUAACCUUUGGCUAUUUCCUAGGACCUCAGAGGAGCUGUUUUCACAGCUCAUUCAGCCUUUGCUCUGGAUCAGCUUUUUGGAUUCAUGACAAGCUGCAGCGGACUUGGACUCUGCCAGCUGCACACGCCUGCUGUUGCCUCACACCGGGCAGAACUCCGCAGGCUCCACUGCCUUCAGCUCCCUGUUUGGAAGGGAAAACAAGAGAAGCUGAUGAAGGCAGUGCAGCAGCACAGAUGUGACUCAGCCGGCUUGCAUGGUCAGGUAGCAGGAACAGAAUCAAUAUCUGACAGCAGAAGAGAAUUUGCUAACGCUGGCGGAACAUCAUUUCUGCUUUUCAAAUUGCUCUUUUCGUUCCCUCUCCUUCAUGAUGAGUAAAGGAAGGGAGCUUGGAGACUGCUUUGUAGACAUUCCUCUUUCCAAAACAGACACUUUUUGUUUAUGUCAGCAAUGUAAGGACUGUCCAGCUGAGCUGUCUCUGACUCUCCUAGGGGUGCUUGGUGCACUUCUAGGCAAGUUUACCCGGAGUAUUUACUGCUGAUGAGGGAGGAACUACUUGAUCCUUAACCAGCAAAAUCCUUUCAGAAUUAUUCUCCAGCAGCCAUAGAGGCAUUAAAAGUUCAGCCCAAAAGGUUCUCCAUUAUCAUGCUAAAAACCCACCUGCCUGAUUCUUGUGUGCUGCUCUCAUUUCAUUGUCGUGCUCCAGAACUGCUCAGAAAAGAUAACUUCUAAGACCAAAAGCAAGAAGCUUGCUUUUAUCUUUCUUCCGCUAAACACUGUGGGUACCUCCGUGAUCGAAAGCCGUCUCUGUUAUGCUUUCCUCUGUCACUGUAAAGAGGGGAGGGCGGUGUGACUCACAGAGCAAAGUUUUCCCACUGGGUACUAAAUAUCUUUAAUAAGAUGUGUCCCCCAAGAUUUAUAUUAGUGAAUUCAUAAAAUAAGCACAUAAAGAAACAAAAAUAAUCACAGACUCCUCAAAGCGCAGAACAACCUCCAGCGCUCUGAGCGCUCAAGGGACGCGUCCUCGCCAUUGGUGGGAUCUCCCAGCUCACUCACCUCUGCUUUGCUCACAGGAGCAUCUCCAGCCACUGAGGAACAGUCAGUUACAAAGUAAAAACUUCAGAAACAGGUAUUUUUGUCUCCCAACGGAUGGAUGAAAGCUGCAGUGUGUUGUAUCAAUAAAGGCUUUGCCAGAGGCAGUGAGCAAUUUAAAUCGUUCCAACUCUGGAACACGGUUUGAGUUUUGCCACAGAUUCCGGUGACGGCAAAACUGAGACUUGUAUGGCAGGUAACAACUCUUUUCACUCUUUUCCUGUGUGAAAUCAGGUAUUUGCUCACAAUCUGGUUUCAGAAAGUCCUGGCCUGACCUGCUGCCUGUCUGUUUAAAGUCUGCACAGAAUCAUUUUCCCCUUAACCUAAGAAGCCACUAACAUAAUGUUGGAGAUAAAUGUUCCGUGGCAGCAGCCUGGCAUAAGAUACGGAGAAAAUAGGGUCAGUGUGUUGGAACUGGAUAAUACAUAACAUCUAAUGUAAUGUUAUUUAACUCAAAGGUCUUCUCUCAAACACAAGGACUCUGGGGUAUUCUACAGUCCUUAAAACAGCGCAAGUAGCAUAGUGCUAUUAGCUGUUAACACCCAGUACCACCAUAUAUUCGUUGAAAGGUAAUAUUGAUCAACUGAGAUGGAAAACAGUUCUUUUGGCAGCUGUUAGCCAGCUCUUUGGAAAUGAAUAUGGGAGUCAAUUACCAAGGGACAAAAGUCCCCUCUGCAGGAUUGCCAGCUUGCUACUGGCACAAGCUCGCCUGCUGCCGGAAGCAUUCCAGAAGGGGAAGAUAAAGGCAGAAAUGGAUGGGUUUAAAUAUCAGCACUGUAAAGACAGAAGCAGAUGGGCUUAAAUAUCAUCACUAUGGCCUUAGAAAUUUUUCACUACGUCAGAAAGCAAACCAGUCUGGAUGAAGAACAGGCUAAACCAGCCUGCCCAGCAUAUAAGUUAGUUACCUGCUAUGGUCCUGCAGUACUCAGCAUCAGGCACGGGGAAAACUGAGUUCUUUGCCUCCCAGUCUAAGAUGGGAAUUGUGUCUGAUACACAAAAACUCUGCAGAAUCAGCACAUGGGUGAGAUGGGGAUGCUAGAAGAAUCCCUCUUGCGAGGAAAGACUGGUAUUGCACAAACUUAUAUAAGGCAGCUCGGCAUAGAAGCUGCUGCUGGGUUGGCUGCACAGGAGCGCAAAGAAGACAACGUUCUUUCUUCACCUACAUUUAGUUGUGUAAUGAGCCACCUGCUCAGACACCGUUUCUUCAUACUGGGCAGGAGCCCACAGCCUUUGACUUUGAAAAAUAACUCAUUGCACUUCUCCCUGCUCAGGUGCACAAAGGGAGCGAAUGCAGAAACCCAGCGCCGAGCAGGCAGCGUGUGAGGACCUUGGAAUGACAUUGGGCUGUUUUGUCUUACUCCCAUGUGCCAGCCAGGCGCUGUGUGGAAUAUAACCCAGCUGGGGCCAGUACCCAUCAGACCGACCAGUGUGGGGCUGUGGGGCUGCCAGCCCCCCCACCUCCACAGAUGACAGGAGGAAAGGGUUUAUCCACAUCCUCAGUCCUGGGCUGCGCUGGCCUAUUGGUUUCCUUCCCCAAACACAUACCGUAAGCUCAACUUAAGGCUGGCUCAUCCUUGCUCUGCUGAUAGAAACUGUUGAUUUAGUGAGUUAAUCAAUAAACCAAACUCCCAAAGUAUUCCCAUGCAAAUGGAUAAGAACCCUGGUCUGCUCACUUUGCUAAUGACUGAAUAAUCACUGUAGGUUUGUUAUCCAGGAACUAGCAGGGUAUGGUGACACGGUGUGUUUAAUGGAGACAUGGGAAUAAAAUAUAUUUUUCAGUACAGUGCACUUGCAGACAUCCC